rnacentral:lncRNA from 1 species
GUUUGGAUUUAGUUUAGGUUCAAAAGAGCACGCACAGAUCCUGAGUGUUGUCAAGCACCCGUGACUGGGAAACGGAGGCGUCCGAUCCGUAUUGGAGUCAAUUCGCCACUUAAUUGAACACAGCCUCGAAGGGAAGGGCCAUAUUUGUGGGCCUGUCUAACAAUUAAGAGUGACCACAUGGAAUGGGGGAUGAAAGGGUUAAAGAAGAACAAAUAUUGAACACAGCUUUUCUAUGAACAAACUGCAGGCAGCUGCUGCUUUGCAAGGGGAACUUCUUGGCUGCCAUUUCUGGAUGUCAAGGCUGCAGAUACACUGGUCAGGACCCUGGGUAGAGAGAGAUGCGUCAGAAUGCGGCUCCUUUCAGAAAGGCUUCUCCGGAGGUCAGCACUCGGGCAAAAGGCUGUGUGUGAUGUGUUUGGGAACACAAAGUUUCAGGGGUUACUCCAUCAUUAUCAUGGCAGGGAACAUGGCAGGAUGCAGGCAGAUGGUAGCUGAGAGUUCUACAUCUGGAUCCACAAAAAACCCUUUGAAAAGAUUCAGCACGUUGCCAUGGAGAACAUCCCACUGAAGGAAUGUAUAGAAGUAGCAGGUGUCAGCUGCCUACCAGUUGCUUUCAUCUCUAGAAAUCUGUGACUUGCAGUAUGACAAGAACAAAAGACUAUUGAAGUGGACACCAAGGGAAUGGAAAAGGAAAAGAAUGAAGCUCUGGUGUCAUCUGGUGACAAUACAAAGGACAAAGGGCAAGGAAUACAGACGGAGAAGCCGCUUAGAGUCUAGGAUGGCAGAGGUUCUCUUGAUCAUUUCAUUUUUGAGCGCUUGUAGAGCUUUGGUGUACCAGAGGUGCUUGAACAGCUUACCACACCACAGAUGAAUGGCCUUUGGAUUUCUCCUAAGAAAAUGUGGCUACCUGAAAUUCAACUCCAUUUUCUGGUCUUCAAUAUUUCUUUUGUGUUCAGUUUGCCAGCUGAGGAGAAGUGGCUAAGCAUAGCCUGUUACUGAUGCUAAAGCCCAAGUUCUGAACCUAACAACUCCAGCAACAUGAUCCUGUUUCAAGAGACAAAAAAGUGACUAAUGAAAGAAAACAAUUGAUGUGCUAUGUAGAGUUUAAAAGAAGGUAAAGAGAAUAAAUUAAAAGCAACAACUC